rnacentral:rRNA from 1 species
AGAGUUUGAUCAUGGCUCAGAGCGAACGCUGGCGGCAGGCUUAACACAUGCAAGUCGAGCGGGCGUAGCAAUACGUCAGCGGCAGACGGGUGAGUAACGCGUGGGAACGUACCUUUUGGUUCGGAACAACACAGGGAAACUUGUGCUAAUACCGGAUAAGCCCUUACGGGGAAAGAUUUAUCGCCGAAAGAUCGGCCCGCGUCUGAUUAGCUAGUUGGUGUGGUAACGGCGCACCAAGGCGACGAUCAGUAGCUGGUCUGAGAGGAUGAUCAGCCACAUUGGGACUGAGACACGGCCCAAACUCCUACGGGAGGCAGCAGUGGGGAAUAUUGGACAAUGGGCGCAAGCCUGAUCCAGCCAUGCCGCGUGAGUGAUGAAGGCCCUAGGGUUGUAAAGCUCUUUUGUGCGGGAAGAUAAUGACGGUACCGCAAGAAUAAGCCCCGGCUAACUUCGUGCCAGCAGCCGCGGUAAUACGAAGGGGGCUAGCGUUGCUCGGAAUCACUGGGCGUAAAGGGUGCGUAGGCGGGUCUUUAAGUCAGGGGUGAAAUCCUGGAGCUCAACUCCAGAACUGCCUUUGAUACUGAGGAUCUUGAGUUCGGGAGAGGUGAGUGGAACUGCGAGUGUAGAGGUGAAAUUCGUAGAUAUUCGCAAGAACACCAGUGGCGAAGGCGGCUCACUGGCCCGAUACUGACGCUGAGGCACGAAAGCGUGGGGAGCAAACAGGAUUAGAUACCCUAGUAGUCC